GCCAAAGAAUAGCUCAGUUGGUAGAGCAUGAGACUCUUAAUCUCAGGGUCAUGAGUCUGAGCCCUAUGUUGGGUA